rnacentral:pre_miRNA from 7 species
AACCAAGCCAGCCUUAAGAGGACUCCAUGGAACAUUCAACGCUGUCGGUGAGUUUGGGAUUCAAAAACAAAAAAACCACCGACCGUUGACUGUACCUUGGGAUUCUUACAGACAACAAGUUUCCUG